rnacentral:rRNA from 1 species
UACGGGGGGGGCAAGCGUUGUUCGGAAUUACUGGGCGUAAAGCGCACGUAGGCGGAUUGUUAAGUCGGGGGUGAAAUCCUGGAGCUCAACUCCAGAACUGCCUUCGAUACUGGCGAUCUCGAGUUCGGGAGAGGUGAGUGGAACUGCGAGUGUAGAGGUGAAAUUCGUAGAUAUUCGCAAGAACACCAGUGGCGAAGGCGGCUCACUGGCCCGAUACUGACGCUGAGGUGCGAAAGCGUGGGGAGCAACAGGG